rnacentral:rRNA from 1 species
GGUUAAGCGACUAAGCGUACACGGUGGAUGCCCUGGCAGUCAGAGGCGAUGAAGGACGUGCUAAUCUGCGAUAAGCGUCGGUAAGGUGAUAUGAACCGUUAUAACCGGCGAUUUCCGAAUGGGGAAACCCAGUGUGUUUCGACACACUAUCAUUAACUGAAUCCAUAGGUUAAUGAGGCGAACCGGGGGAACUGAAACAUCUAAGUACCCCGAGGAAAAGAAAUCAACCGAGAUUCCCCCAGUAGCGGCGAGCGAACGGGGAGCAGCCCAGAGCCUGAAUCAGUAUGUGUGUUAGUGGAAGCGUCUGGAAAGGCGCGCGAUACAGGGUGACAGCCCCGUACACAAAAAUGCACAUGCUGUGAGCUCGAUGAGUAGGGCGGGACACGUGGUAUCCUGUCUGAAUAUGGGGGGACCAUCCUCCAAGGCUAAAUACUCCUGACUGACCGAUAGUGAACCAGUACCGUGAGGGAAAGGCGAAAAGAACCCCGGCGAGGGGAGUGAAAAAGAACCUGAAACCGUGUACGUACAAGCAGUGGGAGCACGCUUAGGCGUGUGACUGCGUACCUUUUGUAUAAUGGGUCAGCGACUUAUAUUCUGUAGCAAGGUUAACCGAAUAGGGGAGCCGAAGGGAAACCGAGUCUUAACUGGGCGUUAAGUUGCAGGGUAUAGACCCGAAACCCGGUGAUCUAGCCAUGGGCAGGUUGAAGGUUGGGUAACACUAACUGGAGGACCGAACCGACUAAUGUUGAAAAAUUAGCGGAUGACUUGUGGCUGGGGGUGAAAGGCCAAUCAAACCGGGAGAUAGCUGGUUCUCCCCGAAAGCUAUUUAGGUAGCGCCUCGUGAAUUCAUCUCCGGGGGUAGAGCACUGUUUCGGCAAGGGGGUCAUCCCGACUUACCAACCCGAUGCAAACUGCGAAUACCGGAGAAUGUUAUCACGGGAGACACACGGCGGGUGCUAACGUCCGUCGUGAAGAGGGAAACAACCCAGACCGCCAGCUAAGGUCCCAAAGUCAUGGUUAAGUGGGAAACGAUGUGGGAAGGCCCAGACAGCCAGGAUGUUGGCUUAGAAGCAGCCAUCAUUUAAAGAAAGCGUAAUAGCUCACUGGUCGAGUCGGCCUGCGCGGAAGAUGUAACGGGGCUAAACCAUGCACCGAAGCUGCGGCAGCGACGCUUAUGCGUUGUUGGGUAGGGGAGCGUUCUGUAAGCCUGUGAAGGUGUACUGUGAGGUAUGCUGGAGGUAUCAGAAGUGCGAAUGCUGACAUAAGUAACGAUAAAGCGGGUGAAAAGCCCGCUCGCCGGAAGACCAAGGGUUCCUGUCCAACGUUAAUCGGGGCAGGGUGAGUCGACCCCUAAGGCGAGGCCGAAAGGCGUAGUCGAUGGGAAACAGGUUAAUAUUCCUGUACUUGGUGUUACUGCGAAGGGGGGACGGAGAAGGCUAUGUUGGCCGGGCGACGGUUGUCCCGGUUUAAGCGUGUAGGCUGGUUUUCCAGGCAAAUCCGGAAAAUCAAGGCUGAGGCGUGAUGACGAGGCACUACGGUGCUGAAGCAACAAAUGCCCUGCUUCCAGGAAAAGCCUCUAAGCAUCAGGUAACAUCAAAUCGUACCCCAAACCGACACAGGUGGUCAGGUAGAGAAUACCAAGGCGCUUGAGAGAACUCGGGUGAAGGAACUAGGCAAAAUGGUGCCGUAACUUCGGGAGAAGGCACGCUGAUAUGUAGGUGAAGCGACUUGCUCGUGGAGCUGAAAUCAGUCGAAGAUACCAGCUGGCUGCAACUGUUUAUUAAAAACACAGCACUGUGCAAACACGAAAGUGGACGUAUACGGUGUGACGCCUGCCCGGUGCCGGAAGGUUAAUUGAUGGGGUCAGCGCAAGCGAAGCUCUUGAUCGAAGCCCCGGUAAACGGCGGCCGUAACUAUAACGGUCCUAAGGUAGCGAAAUUCCUUGUCGGGUAAGUUCCGACCUGCACGAAUGGCGUAAUGAUGGCCAGGCUGUCUCCACCCGAGACUCAGUGAAAUUGAACUCGCUGUGAAGAUGCAGUGUACCCGCGGCAAGACGGAAAGACCCCGUGAACCUUUACUAUAGCUUGACACUGAACAUUGAGCCUUGAUGUGUAGGAUAGGUGGGAGGCUUUGAAGUGUGGACGCCAGUCUGCAUGGAGCCGACCUUGAAAUACCACCCUUUAAUGUUUGAUGUUCUAACGUUGACCCGUAAUCCGGGUUGCGGACAGUGUCUGGUGGGUAGUUUGACUGGGGCGGUCUCCUCCUAAAGAGUAACGGAGGAGCACGAAGGUUGGCUAAUCCUGGUCGGACAUCAGGAGGUUAGUGCAAUGGCAUAAGCCAGCUUGACUGCGAGCGUGACGGCGCGAGCAGGUGCGAAAGCAGGUCAUAGUGAUCCGGUGGUUCUGAAUGGAAGGGCCAUCGCUCAACGGAUAAAAGGUACUCCGGGGAUAACAGGCUGAUACCGCCCAAGAGUUCAUAUCGACGGCGGUGUUUGGCACCUCGAUGUCGGCUCAUCACAUCCUGGGGCUGAAGUAGGUCCCAAGGGUAUGGCUGUUCGCCAUUUAAAGUGGUACGCGAGCUGGGUUUAGAACGUCGUGAGACAGUUCGGUCCCUAUCUGCCGUGGGCGCUGGAGAACUGAGGGGGGCUGCUCCUAGUACGAGAGGACCGGAGUGGACGCAUCACUGGUGUUCGGGUUGUCAUGCCAAUGGCACUGCCCGGUAGCUAAAUGCGGAAGAGAUAAGUGCUGAAAGCAUCUAAGCACGAAACUUGCCCCGAGAUGAGUUCUCCCUGACUCCUUGAGAGUCCUGAAGGAACGUUGAAGACGACGACGUUGAUAGGCCGGGUGUGUAAGCGCAGCGAUGCGUUGAGCUAACCGGUACUAAUGAACCGUGAGGCUUAACCUUAC